CCUUUGCGUUUUAUCCCAUACAUGACGAGCAAGAAGUCUGUAUAGUUUAGUUGUUUGCUGCCGUCCUGCAGUUUAUAAAUCCCUUUGGGGCUUUGCAAUUGCCUUUCGAGUGCUGGCUAUCUGUAUAGUCUUUGCUUUGCCGUAUUCAAUCAGUAGUUAAUCAGUGAGUCGAUAACUCGUUUCAACAUUUUCCCCAUCUAAAUUUCAAAUAGUCAAGUUUCCGAUAAGGUCAAGUUUAGUAAUCGAACACUGAGUAGCAAAAUCAGGGUAUACUUUGUCUUCUUGAAACCAACUC
rnacentral:lncRNA from 1 species